rnacentral:rRNA from 1 species
UUCGCAAUGCCCGAAAGGGUGACGAAGCGACGCCGCGUGCGGGAAGAAGGCCUUCGGGUUGUAAACCGCUGUCGGGAGUUAAGAAAUGUAAGGAUGUUAAUAGCAUCUUUGCUUGACUAAGGCUCCGGAGGAAGCCACGGCUAACUCUGUGCCAGCAGCCGCGGUAAUACAGAGGCGGCAAGCGUUGUUCGGAAUUAUUGGGCGUAAAGAGCACGUAGGCGGCUAUGUAAGUCGGUUGUGAAAGCCUUCCGCUCAACGGGAGAACAGCAUCCGAUACUGCAUGGCUUGAGUGCGGGAGGGGAGAGUGGAACUUCUGGUGGAGCGAUGAAAUGCGUAGAUAUCAGAAGGAACGCCGGCGGCGAAAGCGGCUCUCUGGCCCAUAACUGACGCUGAGUGUGCGAAAGCUAGGGGAGCAAACGGGAUUAGAUACCCCGGUAGUCCUAGCCGUAAACGAUGGGCACUAAGUAGAGGGGUUUUAAUCG